rnacentral:tRNA from 1 species
GAGCAAGUAACUCAGUAGGUUAGAGUACACGCUUGAUAAGCGUGAUGUCGGGGGUUCAAGUCCCUUCUUGCUCA